UCCUUAUUAUAUUGCUGUCAAGU
rnacentral:miRNA from 1 species